AGAGUUUGAUCAUGGCUCAGAUUGAACGCUGGCGGCAUGCCUUACACAUGCAAGUCGAACGGCAGCACGAGAGCUUGCUCUUGGUGGCGAGUGGCGAACGGGUGAGUAAUAUAUCGGAACGUACCCUAGAGUGGGGGAUAACGUAGCGAAAGUUACGCUAAUACCGCAUACGAUCUACGGAUGAAAGUGGGGGAUCGCAAGACCUCAUGCUCAUGGAGCGGCCGAUAUCUGAUUAGCUAGUUGGUGGGGUAAAAGCUCGCCAAGGCGACGAUCAGUAGCUGGUCUGAGAGGACGACCAGCCACACUGGAACUGAGACACGGUCCAGACUCCUACGGGAGGCAGCAGUGGGGAAUUUUGGACAAUGGGCGCAAGCCUGAUCCAGCAAUGCCGCGUGAGUGAAGAAGGCCUUCGGGUUGUAAAGCUCUUUUGUCAGGGAAGAAACGGUGGACUCUAAUACAGAUCACUAAUGACGGUACCUGAAGAAUAAGCACCGGCUAACUACGUGCCAGCAGCCGCGGUAAUACGUAGGGUGCAAGCGUUAAUCGGAAUUACUGGGCGUAAAGCGUGCGCAGGCGGUUGUGCAAGACAGAUGUGAAAUCCCCGGGCUCAACCUGGGAAUUGCAUUUGUGACUGCACGGCUAGAGUGUGUCAGAGGGGGGUAGAAUUCCACGUGUAGCAGUGAAAUGCGUAGAGAUGUGGAGGAAUACCGAUGGCGAAGGCAGCCCCCUGGGAUAACACUGACGCUCAUGCACGAAAGCGUGGGGAGCAAACAGGAUUAGAUACCCUGGUAGUCCACGCCCUAAACGAUGUCUACUAGUUGUCGGGUCUUAAUUGACUUGGUAACGCAGCUGACGCGUGAAGUAGACCGCCUGGGGAGUACGGUCGCAAGAUUAAAACUCAAAGGAAUUGACGGGGACCCGCACAAGCGGUGGAUGAUGUGGAUUAAUUCGAUGCAACGCGAAAAACCUUACCUACCCUUGACAUGUCUGGAAUCCUUGAGAGAUCAGGGAGUGCUCGAAAGAGAAUCAGAACACAGGUGCUGCAUGGCUGUCGUCAGCUCGUGUCGUGAGAUGUUGGGUUGAGUCCCGCAACGAGCGCAACCCUUGUCAUUAGUUGCUACGAAAGGGCACUCUAAUGAGACUGCCGGUGACAAACCGGAGGAAGGUGGGGAUGACGUCAAGUCCUCAUGGCCCUUAUGGGUAGGGCUUCACACGUCACACAAUGGUACAUACAGAGGGCCGCCAACCCGCGAGGGGGAGCUAAUCCCAGAAAGUGUAUCGUAGUCCGGAUUGUAGUCUGCAACUCGACUACAUGAAGUUGGAAUCGCUAGUAAUCGCGGAUCAGCAUGUCGCGGUGAAUACGUUCCCGGGUCUUGUACACACCGCCCGUCACACCAUGGGAGCGGGUUUCACCAGAAGUGGGUAGCCUAACCGCAAGGAGGGCGCUCACCACGGUGGGAUUCGUGACUGGGGUGAAGUCGUAACAAGGUA
rnacentral:rRNA from 1 species